GUGAUAACCGAAAUAGUUAAUGGACCUGGAGUUUGCAAGGAUAACAGUGGAAAUCUGAGAUGUUGCAUUAAUUAUCAACAACACGGCUAUGACUGCAAACCCUGUGAAAUAGGUACAUAUGGUUUAAACUGUUCUGGAGGAUUAUGUCCUAAUGGAUACUAUGGAUUUGGCUGU